AUUGAACGCUGGCGGCAGGCCUAACACAUGCAAGUCGAACGAGUGGCGGACGGGUGAGUAAUGUCUGGGAAACUGCCCGAUGGAGGGGGAUAACUACUGGAAACGGUAGCUAAUACCGCAUACCAUCGGAUGUGCCCAGAUGGGAUUAGCUAGUAGGUGGGGUAAUGGCUCACCUAGGCGACGAUCCCUAGCUGGUCUGAGAGGAUGACCACACACACGGGAACUGAGACACGGUCCAUACCUCUGCGGGAGGCAGCAUGGGGGUAUUUUGCACAAUGGGCGCAAACCUGAUGGAGCCAUGCCGCGUGUAUGAAGAAGGCCUUGGGGUUGUAAAUUUCUUUCAGCGAGGAGGCGUUACUCGCAGAAGAAGCACCGGCUACCUCCGUCCCACCACCGCGGUAAUAC
rnacentral:rRNA from 1 species